GUGCUCGCCUCUGCAGCACGUAUACUAAAAUCGGAACGAUACCGGGAAGGUUAGCAUGGCCCCUGUGCAAGGAUGACAGGCAAAUUCGUGAAGCGUUCCAUAUUAAA